ensembl:lncRNA
GUUUGGGACAGGUAUAGCUGUGUAGAGUGUUCAGUGUUUGGGACAGUUAUAGCUGUGUAGAGUGUUCAGUGUUUGGGACAGGUAUAGCUGUGUAGAGUGUUCAGUGUUUGGGACAGUUAUAGCUGUGUAGAGUGUUCAGUGUUUGGGACAGGUAUAGCUGUGUAGAGUGUUCAGUGUUUGGGACAGGUAUAGCUUGUGUAGAGUGUUCAGUGUUUGGGACAGGUAUAGCUUGUGUAGAGUGUUCAGUGUUUGGGACAGGUAUAGCUUGUGUAGAGUCUAGAAACUCUAUUCUUAGUUUUUCUUCUGUAAUGUGAUUAUUCAUGUACCAUUUGGGUGUGUUUGUCAGUCCGCUGCUGGCGGUUUUUUGACCUUACCCGUCAUGUGACCUCAGUAAACAAAAAGUUUGGUUUCUCCAGUAAAGAACAUCAUGUUUGAUUCUGCAUACGGGAGAGCCACUUCAAAACGAGGUGAUUUUCGUUGGAGCAGGUCAGGAGAGCUAACCUUUUUCAUAAACUUAAACCUCAUUCUCCUAACCUGCUGUGUUUAUUCUCCUAACCUGCUGCGUAAGUUCUCCUAACCUGCUGUGUUUAUUCUCCUAACCUGCUGUGUUUAUUCUCCUAACCUGCUGUGUUUAUUCUCCUAACCUGC